GAUGAACGCUGACAGAAUGCUUAACACAUGCAAGUCUUUGGCGAAUCUGUGCUUGCACAGGCUAGCCAAGGCGGACGGGUGAGUAACGCGUAAAGAACUUGCCCUGCAGACAGGGAUAACAGACGGAAACGACUGAUAACACCUGAUACAGUUGCCGGCACGCAUGUGCCUGGCAAUGAAAAGAGAUGCUGCAGGAGAGCUUUGCGUCCUCUUAGCUUGUUGGUGAGGUGACGGCUCACCAAGGCGAUGAUAGGUAGCCGGCCUGAGAGGGUGAACGGCCACAAGGGGAGUGAGAUACGGCACUUACUCCUACGGGAGGCAGCAGUGGGGAAUAUUGGACAAUGGGGGCAACCCUGAUCCAGCAAUUCUGUGUGCACGAAGAAGGUUUUCGGAUUGUAAAGUGCUUUCAGCAGGGAAGAAGAAAGUGACGGUACCUGCAGAAGAAGCGACGGCUAAAUACGUG
rnacentral:rRNA from 1 species